GACGAACGCUGGCGGCGUGCUUAACACAUGCAAGUCGAACGGAAAGGCCCUGCUUUUGUGGGGUGCUCGAGUGGCGAACGGGUGAGUAACACGUAAGUAACCUGCCCUUGACUUUGGGAUAACUUCAGGAAACUGGGGCUAAUACCGGAUAGGAGCUCCUGCUGCAUGGUGGGGGUUGGAAAGUUUCGGCGGUUGGGGAUGGACUCGCGGCUUAUCAGCUUGUUGGUGGGGUAGUGGCUUACCAAGGCUUUGACGGGUAGCCGGCCUGAGAGGGUGACCGGCCACAUUGGGACUGAGAUACGGCCCAGACUCCUACGGGAGGCAGCAGUGGGGAAUAUUGCACAAUGGGCGGAAGCCUGAUGCAGCAAUGCCGCGUGCGGGAUGACGGCCUUCGGGUUGUAAACCGCUUUCGCCUGUGACGAAGCGUGAGUGACGGUAAUGGGUAAAGAAGCACCGGCUAACUACGUG
rnacentral:rRNA from 1 species